rnacentral:rRNA from 1 species
AAUGCCAGUCUCAGAGAACAAUAUCCAGCCUUAUAUAACAUCGUUCGCGAUAAGAAUAAUACUAUUGCGCACGUGCUCGGUUCUUCCCCGCCGAAUAUUUCGUUCAGGCGGGAUUUGAUUGGCCCCCGACUUGUGUCAUGGCAUAAUCUUUUAUCCCGGCUGGAUUCGAUUAACCUGACACAAGGUCGGGAUGUGUUUCGCUGGAACCUUACUACAUCAGGGUCUUUCACAAUG